rnacentral:rRNA from 1 species
AGCGAACGCUGGCGGCAGGCCUAACACAUGCAAGUCGGACGAAGUCUUCGGACUUAGUGGCGGACGGGUGAGUAACACGUGGGAACGUGCCUUUAGGUUCGGAAUAACCCAGGGAAACUUGUGCUAAUACCGAAUGUGCCCUUCGGGGGAAAGAUUUAUCGCCUUUAGAGCGGCCCGCGUCUGAUUAGCUAGUUGGUGAGGUAAAGGCUCACCAAGGCGACGAUCAGUAGCUGGUCUGAGAGGAUGAUCAGCCACAUUGGGACUGAGACACGGCCCAAACUCCUACGGGAGGCAGCAGUGGGGAAUCUUGCGCAAUGGGCGAAAGCCUGACGCAGCCAUGCCGCGUGAAUGAUGAAGGUCUUAGGAUUGUAAAAUUCUUUCACCGGGGACGAUAAUGACGGUACCCGGAGAAGAAGCCCCGGCUAACUUCGUGCCAGCAGCCGCCGUAACAC